UAGGGAAUCUUCGGCAAUGGACGGAAGUCUGACCGAGCAACGCCGCGUGAGUGAAGAAGGUUUUCGGAUCGUAAAGCUCUGUUGUUCGAGAAGAACGUUGGUAGGAGUGGAAAAUCUACCAAGUGACGGUAACUAACCAGAAAGGGACGGCUAACUACGUGCCAGCAGCCGCGGUAAUACGUAGGUCCCGAGCGUUGUCCGGAUUUAUUGGGCGUAAAGCGAGCGCAGGCGGUUCUUUAAGUCUGAAGUUAAAGGCAGUGGCUUAACCAUUGUACGCUUUGGAAACUGGAGGACUUGAGUGCAGAAGGGGAGAGUGGAAUUCCAUGUGUAGCGGUGAAAUGCGUAGUUAUAUGGAGGAACACCGGUGGCGAAAGCGGCUAUCUGGUCUGUAACUGACGCUGAGGCUCGAAAGCGUGGGGAGCAAACAGG
rnacentral:rRNA from 1 species